AAUCAAGAACAUGGCGGAGCGUUCAAGAUAAUCUAGGGCAUUCCGGAACAUUCCACACAAGUGUACAAAUUCAAGCCUCACCUAGAACAAUCUAGAUUAGGCAAGUUGUAUCUAGAACUAUACUAGAUAUUUUUGGAUGUAAGUAGGGAAUUCUAGAACCCUCCAUUGAGGAGGUGACUUAGGCCUAUAAAUAGGAGGUAAGGCCAUUUGGCCAAACCAUCCAAGAAUUGUCAGCAAUUGUAAAGUUAUCCUAAGUUUCAAUACAAAGCUUCAUUUCUCCCAUCUUCUAAGUGAUUUUAGCAUUCUCCAAGCUAUCUUAGCUUUCUUUGUGAUUCGAUCCGGGGAAGCGAGGCUUCGAAGGCUUACUUAGCUUGUUCAUCGAGGUAUUCAAGUCUAAGUGCCGCACGGGCGGAAGGCUUAAAGAGUCAUCCCGUGACAGCUGGUAUCAGAGCCAAGCUCGUGAAUCACUUGAAGGAAAGUAGGAUAUGGCAAGUGGAGAGAUGGUGUCCGGAGUCUCCGAUCUAAGGGAGCGUACUGCCGAGGUCCAAGAUGUUGCCAAGAGCAAGCCAAAGUUAAAGGACUUGCAAGCAUCGAUGGAGACCAUGGAAGAGCGACUCGAGAAGGUGGAACGAACCAUACUCGAGUUCAAUACUCGACUUGAUGACGACGUUGUCGACAAGGAGGAAAUCCAAACCAUAGUGGACAAUGGUAAGGAUGAACUUCGUGGCUUGGUGGAAGGGCUACGAGAUGAGCUCCUUGGCGCUCUCAACACCAUGGCAGACAAGAUGCGGAGGAAAGUCCAGGUUCACCUUGACAACAUAGAGGCAAGGUUUGUGGCGCUUCAAGAAGAGAUAAAGGACACAAGGGAACUUAAGGGAGAUGUGGCAUUUUGUAAAGAAGCAGUCGUGAAGCAAUUCGUACAAGGGCCGAGGGAAAUCAAGGCGUUGGACUCCAAGGUAAUCGACUCCUUUAAACCCAAAUCCUAUAAUGGGAAGAGGGAAGCAAAUGAGCUCGACACAUUCAUGUGGAACGUGGAGCGAUACUUCAAGUACCUGAAGCUUGAAGAUGACGAGUCCAAAAUCUCAAUGGCAACCAUGUUCUUAGCUGACAACGCCUUUAUGUGGUGGCGUCGUCGGAGCAUGGAGAUUGAGCAAGGUACGUUAUCUCUCACCACUUGGGAUGAAUUUAAGAAAGAUCUUAUGUUGCACUUCUAUCCCCAAAAUGCCAAGUACGAAGCCAAGGAGAAACUAAGGUGGCUCAAGCAAACGGGGAGCGUCAAAGACUAUGUCAACGCCUUCGUGAGCUUGUUAUUCGAGGUGCCCAACAUGUUAGAGGAAGACAAUCUCAUGUACUUCAUGAGUGGACUGCAAAAUUGGGCAAAACUCGAACUACAAAGGAGACACGUGCAAACAUUGUCUGAUGCCAUUGCCGCCGCCGAAUCCUUGAUUGAGUUUAAAUCAAGCCACCAAGGUGAUUCCAAGUCCACGGGGAAUAGGGGUAACCAUGAGAGAAGUGGGGGAAAACACAAGCCGAAGGACAAGGCCGAGACAAGCAAACCGAAGGAGAAGAAAGCCGAUAAGCAUGACAAAGGCAAGGGUAAGUCUUGGCAACCCACUUGUUACCUAUGCGACGGCCCUCACAUGAUGCGAGAUUGCCCACAAAAGAAGGCCUUUAAGGCCAUGGCUUUCAAGGAGGACAAGGCCGAAGAAAGUAACGAUGCAACGAUGGGAUGCAUCCAUCUACUGAAUGCCAUCCAGACAACCCUCCCACAACCUAAGGCUCAAGUUGGGGGAGGAUCAUUGUUCGUCGACGUCAAAACUGGUGACAAGACGACGCGUGUGUUGGUGGACACGGGAGCAACACACAACUUCAUGACGUCGGAGGAAGCCACAAGGCUUGGCCUCUGAGUCACCAAGGAGCCCGGUAGCGUGAAGACGGUAAAUUUCGCUGCCACCCCCAUUGUUGGAGUUGCGCGCAAUGUACAAGUAGACAUUGGCACAUGGAAGGGAAAUAUCGACUUCACCGUAGUCAAGAUGGAUGACUAUGGCGUAGUCAUUGGGUUAGAGUUCAUGGACAAGGUACGGGCCUUUCCCAUUCCCUUCUACAAUAUCUUCUGUAUCCUAGACGACGGAAGACAACCUUGCCUGGUGCCAUUGGAAAGGCAAGCCAAGAAGUGUACCCAGCACUUGUCGGCAAUUCAAUUUGCCAAGUCUUGGAAGAAAGGCGAGGCCACAUUUCUUGCAACUCUAAUGUUGAAUGAAGGGGAGGAGAAACACGGGCCUUUGCCGAAACAAGUGGAAGCCGUCCUUAUGGAGUUUGCGGACGUGAUGCCUAAAGAACUGCCAAAAAAGUUGCCACCAAGGAGAGAGGUCGACCAUGCGAUUGAGUUGGAGCCUGGUGCUAAGCCUCCCUCCAAAUCACCUUAUAGGAUAUCGCCACCCGAGUUGGAGGAAUUGAGGAAGCAACUCAACGAGCUACUUGAUGCUGGCUACAUCCAACCCUCCAAGUCCCCAUAUGGUGCACCCGUCCUGUUCCAACGCAAGAAAGAAGGUAGCCUAAGGUUGUGCAUCGACUAUAGAGCAUUGAACAAGAUUACCAUCAAGAACAAGUACCCACUUCCGUUGAUCGCCGACUUAUUCGAUCAACUUGGUGAAGCAAGGUACUUCACAAAGUUAGAUCUUCGAUCGGGAUACUACCAAGUGAGGAUAGCCCCUGGAGACGAAUCGAAGACGGCGAUGGUGACCAGAUAUGGAUCGUUCGAGUAUAAAGUCAUGCCAUUUGGUCUGACCAAUGCCCCCGCAACAUUCUGCACAUUGAUGAACAAGGUAUUCCAUCCUUAUCUUGACAAGUUUGUCGUGGUUUACAUUGAUGAUAUUGUUGUCUAUAGCAAGACAUUGGAGGAGCACGUCAACCACUUGCGCAUAGUGUUCAAGACCCUUCGGGAGCAUGAACUCUAUGUCAAGAAGGAGAAAUGCUCAUUUGCCAAAAAAGAAGUAGAAUUUCUUGGCCACAAGAUAAAGGAGGGGAAACUUAUGAUGGAAAAGGGCAAGAUCAAGGCCAUUCAAGAGUGGGAACCGCCGACCAAGGUACCAACACUACGAUCAUUUCUGGGGCUAGCCAACUACUAUCGGAGAUUCAUUAAAGGGUACUCAGCCAUAGCGGCACCCUUAACAGACCUUCUUAAGAAGAAUAAGGCAUGGGAAUGGACGGACCGUUGUCAAGAGGCCUUUGAGAGGUUGAAGAAGGCCCUAAUGGAGGAGCCUGUACUAAGGUUGCCCGACCUUAGCAAGCCAUUCGAGUUGCACACUGAUGCUUCCGACUUUGCCAUAGGAGGAGUGUUGAUGCAAGAGGGACAUCCGAUAACUUAUGAAAGUCGCAAGCUAAACAAUGCUGAGAAGAGGUACACGACCCAUGAAAAGGAGAUGACCGCCAUCGUCCAUUGCCUUAGAGUUUGGAGGCAUUACUUGCUUGGUACCCCAUUCAUCAUCAAGACGGACAACGUUGCCACUAGCUACUUUCAAACCCAACAAAAGCUCACACCUAAGCAAGCAAGGUGGCAAAAGUUCUUAGCAGAGUUUGAUUACAAGCUAGAGUACAAGCAAGGAAAGGAGAACGUGGUGGCCGAUGCUCUAAGUAGACGAGUAGAGUUAAUGGCUACGGUACUCAAGCCGCAAAGCCAUCUCUUGGGCCGUGUCCGAGAAGGUUUAUCACAUGACGUCCAAGCCAAGAACAUUGUGGAGUUUGUCAAGGAUGGGAAGACAAGAAGGUUUUGGCUUGAGGACGGCUUGCUAUACACCAAGGGCAAGCGGAUCUACAUCCCAAAGUGGGGGAGCUUGAGGAAAGAAAUCCUUAAGGAAUGCCAUGACUCAAUGUGGGCAGGACAUCCUGGCACUCACCGCACGUUGGCUUUGGUGAGCGAUGCUUACUAUUGGCCACAAAUGUGGGAUGAUGUAGAUUCAUACGUGAAGACUUGUCUUGUGUGCCAACAAGACAAAAUGGAACAAAUGCAACCGGGAUGACUGUUGGAACCACUUCCCACCCCAUCAAGACCAUGGGAGUGUUUAACCAUGGAUUUCAUCACACAUUUGCCCAAGUCUGAUGGAUGUGGAUCUAUCUUCGUCGUGGUCGAUAGAUUCACCAAGUAUGCCACUUUCAUACCCGCACCUGUGGAGUGCACAGCCGAAGUAGCUGCACGUUUGUUUCUAAAGCACGUGGUGAAGUAUUGGGGUGUUCCGAGGAGCAUAGUCAGCAAUCGAGAUGCUCGCUUCACGGGUAGAUUUUGGAAGGAGCUCUUCAAGCUACUUGGCUCAAAGUUAGACUUCUCCACAACUUUUCAUCCCCAAACUGAUGGACAAACGGAGCGGGUUAAUGCAUUGUUGGAGACUUAUUUGCGGCACUAUGUUAGUGUCAAUCAACGAGAUUGGGCUAAGUUACUUGAUGUUGCCCAAUUCUCUUAUAACUUGCAACGUUCGGAGUCGACGGGGAAAAGUCCGUUCGAGUUGGCUAUAGGGCAACAACCCUUGACCCCGAACACGGUCGUGACUGGCUACACUGGAAUAGUCCAGCCGCUUUCAAAACCGCUAAGAAGUGGCAAUUAGCCCACGAACUUGCUCGAGCUCACUUGGAGAAGGCUUCAAAGAAGAUGAAGAAAUGGGCGGAUCGUAAGCGAAGGAAUGUGGAGUUCCAAACUGGCGACCAAGUCUUUGUGAAGCUCAAUGCGUCUCAGCACAAGAGUACUCGUGGCUUGCACAAGAGCUUGUUGCGGAAAUAUGAGGGACCAUUCCUUAUCAUCAAGAAAGUUGGCAAAGCCGCGUAUGUUGUGGAACUCCCACCCCGCCUUAAGUUUCACCCGGUGUUCCAUGUGAGCAACUUGAAGCCUUAUCAUGCAGGCGAUGAGGAACCAAGCCAAGGUGAGUCUCAUCGAGCACCCCCUUUGAUGACAGAGGCAUUUGACAAAGAAGUGGAGAGCAUUGAAGCCAAGUGUGUCGUGGUGCGACCAAGACAACCAAAGCAUGUGGAGUACUUUGUCAAAUGGAAGGGGCUACCAUACUCCGAAGCAACAUGGGAGAAGGAGACGUCCUUAUGGCAAUAUAAGGACCUGAUUAAUACAUUCGAGAGGCAAGAGUCGACGAGGACGUCGACGGCUUAAGUGGGGGAGGAUGUCACGGGCUGCAUGUUAAAAACAAAGAAAAUGCCCAAGACACCAUAUAUCUAAGCCCAUAAAGCCUUGUCUUCAUGGAAGCUUCUGGAACAUCCCGGAAAAAUCAAGAACAUGGCGGAGCGUUCAAGAUAAUCUAGGGCAUUCCGGAACAUUCCACACAAGUGUACAAAUUCAAGCCUCACCUAGAACAAUCUAGAUUAGGCAAGUUGUAUCUAGAACUAUACUAGAUAUUUUUGGAUGUAAGUAGGGAAUUCUAGAACCCUCCAUUGAGGAGGUGACUUAGGCCUAUAAAUAGGAGGUAAGGCCAUUUGGCCAAACCAUCCAAGAA
rnacentral:lncRNA from 1 species